rfam:Tstilago hordei, Th4857-4, WGS project CAGI01000000 data, contig: THOR_scaffold_5.00020
AGCUCGAUAGUCUAGUGGUAGGGCGUUGGGCUCAUAUUCAACUAUUAGAAGGAACCCAAAGGUCGUCGGAUCGAGACCGACUCGAGCUA